rnacentral:misc_RNA from 1 species
GGAUGGUAAAUGUGAUUCAGUAAAAUUUACAUACCCUCCCAUUUGACAAUCAAAGGCAACAGUAUAAAUUCAUUUCAAAUAGUAUACAUAAUAGUAUGAAAGCCAGCACAUUCAUGUUACAUAGUUUUCCUGUAAUUUUUCCGCCAUGGUAUCUACAGAUGAAUAGCCUAUAAUAAGGUCAACCAAAAACGGGAGAAAGACAGUUGCAAAAUUACAUCCGCUAAGAAAGUACAGGAGGAAAUGAAAAAGCACAAAAUGAAAGUUACAAGAGUCAUGUUGAAGACAGAUCUCAAGCAAUGUCUGAUCUUAAAAUAUGCUAAAUAGAGUCAUGUUGUUUUCUCUCCUCUUGUAUAGAUUGGAAAAUUCGAGCAGCUGAUUCAGUAGCAGACAUGGGGUUGUGAGGCACUACCUUGAUCACUCUUCUUGGCUGGUCAUUCUCUUGAGGCAGCGAGGCUCCUUCUGGACCAGCAGGAGCCAUUGGGAACAGUGAAAGUGCAUUUCUUCCUUCAGCAGGUUGAACAAACCCAACUCCUUGCGUCUUCUCACUGGGACUACUUGCUGUACUUCCCAGUAGCUCAGUGUCUUUUGAUGCCUGGAACUUCGUAACUUGUGGAAUGCUCUUCUGGGUUGGCACAUUACAUGAGCUUUGAUGUUGCAUAUUAAAGUUUGCUCCCCCUCCUGAUAACUGACCAGUUUGACCAUACAAACCAGAUCCUGCAAAGUAGUUCAUUUGUUCCACUGCUGAACAUGAGAUGCCUGGAUUCAUGACUGGCAUGCCAUAUGGAGGGAAGUAACAAUGAACACCUGGAGGAACAAAUGGUGAGGCCCCAGUUCCUUGAUGGUGAGGAUGAGAAGCUGGAAUCCCAUAGGCUGGAUUCAUAAAGCUACCAUUCAGAGGAGUUGGCCCAAAAGGUGCACAUCCUCCACACGGUGAACCCAUGAAUCCCGGCGCAGUGUAUGGCUUGUAUACAAGUCCUUCUGAAGGAGACAUCACUGGAAUUAACCACUGAUGCCCAAGUGAAUGAUGGAAACACCAAGGACCCACUUUGGGAUCAGUAGACACAGGAACUGGUAGUGGGUUCCCAAUGUAAGACCCAUAAUUAGAGGGCUGACUACCACUUUUCACAGAAGAAAGUGAUGUCUUCCCAACUGCAUUCUCUGCUGAGCAUUCCAUCUUAUGGUUUGGUUUCUCACAAUCUCCUUUGCGCUUGGCGACAUGCACUGGAGGUGCUACCACAUACUGUGAAGGAAGUUUCUCUGCAGGAGAAACCUUAGUAGAAUGUUUCCCCAGAUAAGUUAUGUCUUGAAGCAAAAGAUUUGGCGACGCAGCAAUCAGUCGUUGAACCUGCAUAAAAAUAAAUAUUUAAGAUAUUUUCCUUCUAAUCAAUUAUACAUAUAUCCAUAAAAUGUUCAUUGAAUCCAAUCCCAGAAGUUGAAGCUACUUGAUAGGGUCCAAGAAAAUCUUACCUUUAUCAGUCUAUGCAACUCAAACACUUGCCAUGCAAACAAUCUUUGUUGACUGUAGAAAGUAACAAGGGUUGGAUCAAGAACAUAAACCACAUCUUUAAAAAUGAAUCUACAGUAAGCAUAGAGAUGAAUCCAAAGAAUCAGCCCAACAUUAAUUCACAAUCUGGCAGGACAGUAAACUUUAAAGGACCUCCAUGGUCAAAAUUCGGACUGGGGAAGUAGUUCUGCGGAUAUGUAGUGCCAUUGAGGCAUUCUUUGAACGGAUCAAUUAAAAAUCCAUGAUUAAGUUCAUUUUUUAUACAUGAUUUUGCAAGAAUACUAUGCAUUACAAAACUUUGGCAAAUUUCCAAACAAGGAUAACCUGUAAUUACACAACUGUACAGAAUGUAAAAGCUUUUAGCACUGAAUAAAUAUGAUGAGAUUCAAAAAAAGUACAUGUUUGCAGUUCACUGCUGUAAAAGCAUCAAAUGCCAUUAAUGAUUGUGAAAAUUUACACAGAAAAUUCCUGUAUGCCAAAAACUAUCUUCAAUACGACAAAAUCAGGUAUGAAGCUAAAUGCAAGAUAAGGUUCUGCAAUUACAACAUGUAAAUAUUAUACAGCUCUCUUCAUAAUUUUAUAGGUAUAUUAUUAAUUUAAUCAACAAAAAAAAAAUGAAAACAUUUACAUGCACAAGCUGUACACAGAGAGAAUCACAAGAUAAAGAAUGGGCACAAAAAUAUGAAUCCUAGCCCUAUAAAUCCAACUUAGAACACCACGAGACUAUUAUGGUUGCCACCAUGUCCACCACUAAUUGUCAAUAAGCCCAAUUAUAGUGCUGGGAACCAUCCUCCACCACCUGUUGCCUCCUUGCUCCAAGCCCUUGAGUGCCACAGAUGGGAAAAAUCUUGAAUGAUAGCAGGGAAAAGAAAGCUACAUCAAACCGAGACAGGAGAUCCAAAAGCAUAAUGAUUGAUGAGAAGACCCACUGUCUCGGAGGCAACUUGAACAAAGUACCACAAUUAGUACUGUCCAUCUCCCUGCCGUAAGAUGAUCCACCAUUUGCCAUCAAGGGCCUUUGAACACACAAAAAUGCCAGUUGGAAUGGAUCCAGGGACUCCACACUAUUGAAUUCUCCCUCGCUCACAGCCAUGAAUACAACUCCAGUUCAAAACAGAGAAUCAUUUGAUAUUCCUAAAGUUAGUAUUCCACCACACAUUUCAACAAUCUAAUUCAGCUUCAUAUUGGGCGAAUAGGAAGAACACUGAUACCAAGAACAAAAAAUUGCAGAAGCUUCUUAUAUACCAUUUUAUCAAUUCCCUUUUCUGGGGAAAAAUAAUUUAGUUUCACAAAUCCUGUUCAAGUAAACAUAGUGGACAUCCAAAGUUCCAGUCUACGAACCUUAGUCAACAGCAAUAAUUACUAGCCCAAGAACAGAAGUGACUUGCAUAAAACAAUAUGAUAAAAUUUAAAGUGGAAGUAGCUAUCACAAAGCUCUUGCAACUGUUUAUAAGCAAUGUGUUAGAUGCGAACAAAAAGGAGCAAAUAAUCUAAGUUGAUGGGGAAGGGAGGGAAGAGAUAAAGAUUUCCGUACAGCAUAAAGAAUCAGAAUAAAGAAAUGGGAGAAAAUGGUAUUCUCUUGUUUUCUUCUAACAAUUUUAAUUUUCAGUUUGCAUCCUCUCACCAUAAAUAUUGGCCCAAAGCCCUAUGUUUGUAUAUAGGUUGAGUUUUUCCAUGUUCUUAAUUUCUCAUUUUUCCUCCCUUUCUUUAAUAAACAUACAAAUAUAAAUAUCAAACCAGAAAUCACAACGAGUGUUAUUAAGAAAAUGACCCUAAUGGUGUCCUUCAUUUAUAAGAGUGAAUACCUAGCUAGGAAGUUACUACAAUCAGAAUAAAUAAUCAAAUUCUGUACCAUCAUAAAAAUUUGAGGGCUUGUUUAGGAUCAACUUUGUUUUCUAUUUUUGGUUGUUGUCAAAUACUGAACAUUUGCAUUUUGAAAACUCAGUUGAUGGAAAAGGUAAAAACUACUUUUUACGGUUUUCACUUGUUCACAAAACCAAGUGUGUUUUAGAAAUAUAAUUUUGUUUGACAGCCAGACAGCACAAACCAGAAACUAAAACGUCCAUGCCAAACGCCCUAAAUUUGUCAAGAACUCAAGAUCCAGUGAUAUAGAGUAGCUAUAAAUAAUUAUGAAGACUUACUUGACAAUUGCCCUUCUUGCUUUCCAGAAAUGUUUCUGACCGAUAAUUCCAACAAUAUCAUCAGGAGAAAUAUCCAAUGCUGAUAUAGAAUCCACCAUAGAGGUCUCAGAGACAUCAUCACUUUUGUCUUCAUUUCCCAAUUGUAGUGACCUACAUGUCUUGUCUCCACAAAAUUCACUAUCAAUUUCAGGCUCAUUGAGACUAUCAAGAUCCUCCCUUGAAUGAGAGUCACUUCUUGACCGGGGAAUGUUAUCUUUCUCUGUUUCUGUUGUAAGCUCAGGAACAUCUUCACCGUGUACGCUGCCAUUUUGUUGCAAACAAUCAUCACUUUCAGACAAUUUGUUAAAACUAGAUCUAAGUUGACCUUCAUUUUGUUGAUCCAAAGAUUCAUCCCCAGGCCUAUCUAUCCUUUCCCUAGUUGGUAAAUUCAUUGAAGAUCUUCCUGAAUUAUCCCUACUUGAGACACACACCUCCAGGCUACCGUCACUAUGAUUUCUUGCAUCCUGUCUCAAAUUGGGACCUCUGAAGAUAUUAUUAUUUUUAUUAGCAUUGCCAGCAUUUUGUAUUUUUCUUGAACCCAAGUAAUUUUGGCUGAAAGAAGUGAACUUUUCCCCAUCAAUGCCAUUCUGAUUUUUAUGAAGACAUUGGUCUAUCCCAGAUUGAACGAAUACAGGUACUGUGAAAUCAUCUUCAUCUCCUACCUUCUUCCUCUGCUUAAGUUGGGCUGAUGAAGCAUUUGAGUUUCCUCCAUCACGCUGGUGAGAAUGGAGCCUCUCAUCCCUAUGAGAGGGUGUAGGAUAAGCAUGAAGUGGGACAGGCAAAUUUCUUUCAAAGCCACUCCCCUGACUUGAGGAUCCAGCAGGAACCAAGUUGCUAGCUUUGCUGGUGUUGAGAGGCAAAACACCAUGGUUAAACCUCUGAGAAGGAAUACUGAGCUGCUCGUAAAGGGCCAUCUUGUUCCUUGGAGGUGCUCUUGGCCCUCCUUUCUCGGUAUUAUUGACAUGAAGCCUAGGGAACAUAGGCCCCAUUUUCUUUUCAUCAUCAUUCCCUCUCUUCAUCUCCUUUAUCUAUCGCUCAAACGUGAGGCAAACCCAUAACCAAAAAACUUAAUUUCUCAUUUAGCUCAACGGAUGAAGUAACCUCCCAAAAAAACAAAACUUUUUUUGAAACCCAGUUGCAGAAACUGAAUAUUUUGAAACUCAAAUACUCACAUCAGCGGUUAUCUUCAAAAACAGAUCAGUUCCUCAGGGACAUGCAACAAUUUAUACUUCAAAAUCAAAACCCAGUAGCAGAAUUUAUCAAACCCAAAAAUCAAAACAAACUCUAACUUAUACCAAUGCAAGUGAAUUCUCAAGUACCCAAAAGACCAAGCCUCAAGAAUACGAGAAAGACCCAGAUGCAGGAGGUCGGUUCUCUAUUAACAAAAUAGCGAGGGUUAACAGGGCUUGAGGCUGCAAUUGAUUAGGUAAAGAAAUGGGAGAUUGAAUUAAGGUAAAAGGAGACAGAAAUCUAUGAGAAGGACAAAAAGAUUCGAGAAGAGCGAUGGGAUUGGCCUGAAUGGUAAAUGGGACAUUAGGGAUUCCAAGUAGAUCAUCGAAAGGCAGAAAAAGCGCAAUUGUGAGACCCUUCUGGAUGCCCUUUUG